ensembl:misc_RNA Metazoa_SRP Metazoan signal recognition particle RNA
GCCAGGCAUGGUGGCGUGUGCCUGUAAUCCCAGCUACUGGGGAGGCUGAGGUGGGAGAAUUGCUUGAACCCAGGAGGUAGGGAUUGCAGUGAGCCGAGAUUGCACCACUGCACUCCAGCCUGGGUGACAGAGCCAGACUUUGUCUCAA